rnacentral:rRNA from 1 species
AUACGUAGGUGGCAAGCGUUGUCCGGAUUUACUGGGCGUAAAGGGUGCGUAGGUGGUUUCUUAAGUCAGGAGUGAAAGGCUACGGCUCAACCGUAGUAAGCUCUUGAAACUGGGUAUCUAGAGUGUGGGAGAGGAAAGUGGAAUUCCUAGUGUAGCGGUGAAAUGCGUAGAGAUUAGGAAGAACACCAGUGGCGAAGGCGACUUUCUGGACCAUAACUGACGCUGAGGCUCGAAAGCGUGGGGAGC